GACAUGUAGCCAGGCCAAGGGUGCGUAGACACUGAAUUCAAAUUCCCUCAGCUGCAGUGUUUAGUUUUAGCCCACAAACCCUCAGAGCCAUCCAGCAAGCUCCGCAUGAGACAGAAGUAAGACGGAUCUUUAGCCAGCCCCUGCCCACCUUAAAUCGUCUGUGCCGUCUGGGCACACUUGUCUAUUUCACAUUAAAGGGCUUCUGGAGACUUAUUGAUGAGAGACAUUUACCAGAGGCUAACUGAGGCCUGGGAGAAAUUUCAUCAAGCGAUUUCCUCACCAAAUCUUGUACCACAACACCGGGGUUCUCUCAUGAAGAAACUCAAAAAAAACCAACCAAUCAACGUUCAUGGAUGACAACCUUAUUUGACCAACGGAUUGAAGAAUAUCAAGCUGGAGCACUGAAAAUGCAUUGCCAUCGAUUUCCUUAAGCCGCAAGCCUCAGACACGACCCAGCAAAAUCUACCAGCCUGACAAGCGAGGCUCAGCAGGAGAGUAUAAUCAACAAGAAGUAAUAGAUACCAGGGCACCUGCCCCAACCGUAUGAAGACAUCGGCUGUCCCAACCCCCAGAGCAAUCCUCCAGAGAGCGGUUGAUUAGAGAGAGUCCCUGCCACAGUCUGAAUCUAAUUUCCUUCCAACCUACACAGAUCCUACAUGGAUUCGAUGCCUAUUGUUUCCAGGUUACUAGGAGUAGACGUGUUGAAGUAAAGCUGCUGAAAAUUUA